AAUUGAGAGGCUCAACCUCUUCGAGCCGUUGAAACUGGUUUUCUUGAGUGAGCGAGAAGUAUGCGGAAUGCGUGGUGUAGCGGUGAAAUGCAUAGAUAUCACGCAGAACUCCGAUUGCGAAGGCAGCAUACCGGCGCCCAACUGACGCUCAUGCACGAAAGUGUGGGUAUCGAACAGGAUUAGAUACCCUGGUAGUCCACACAGUAAACGAUGAAUACUAAUUGUUCGGGGAGAAUGAUCCCUGAGUGAUACAGCGAAAGCGUUAAGUAUUCCACCUGGGGAGUACGCCGGCAACGGUGAAACUCAAAGGAAUUGACGGGGGCCCGCACAAGCGGAGGAACAUGUGGUUUAAUUCGAUGAUACACGAGGAACCUUACCCGGGCUCAAACGACACAGGAAUACUUUUGAAAGGAGGUAGCUCUACGGAGUCUGUGUCGAGGUGCUGCAUGGUUGUCGUCAGCUCGUGCCGUGAGGUGUCGGCUUAAGUGCCAUAACGAGCGCAACCCCCAUCGCCAGUUACCAGCAAGUCAAGUUGGGGACUCUGGCGAGACUGCCGGCGCAAGCUGUGAGGAAGGCGGGGAUGACGUCAAAUCGGCACGGCCCUUACGUCCGGGGCGACACACGUGUUACAAUGGGGGGUACAGCGGGAAGCCAGGCGGCGACGCCGAGCGGAACCCGAAAGCCUCUCUCAGUUCGGAUCGGAGUCUGCAACCCGACUCCGUGAAGCUGGAUUCGCUAGUAAUCGCGCAUCAGCCAUGGCGCGGUGAACACGUUCCCGGGCCUUGUACACACCGCCCGUCAAGCCAUGGAAGCCGGGAGUGCCUGAAGUGUGCAACCGCAAGGAGCGCCCUAAGGUAAAACUGGUGACUGGGGCUAAGUCGUAACAAGGUAACCGUAA
rnacentral:rRNA from 1 species